GUUUAACCAUCGACAAGGUAAAUCCACAACUUUGUCCAAAUUCGGCGCCAUUUUGACAUCCCAUGUCGCUUGUUAACAAUUCAGCCUUGUUACUCUUCCAUCCAAGCCAUUUCCAUUCCACUAAUAAUAAAUUUAACCCUUUAUAACAGGAGGAAACCAAAAAAUCUAAACAAAACAUAAGAAAUUCGCCAUUUUAUCACCCUGUAAAAUUUCGCUCACGAGUCUUUCAAAACAUUCCGUGCAAAUCUCGCGUGGUUUAGCAACAGGGACGUGACAGGGGGUAGAGACUUGAAAAAUGAAAGCCCAUACAGUAUGGUAAAACCAGCAAUCAACAUUUAAUUUGUAUGACUUUUUCAUAUUAAUAAAUAAUAAAUGUAUAUAUUUGUCACUACAAGAAAUAAAACAAACAUUUGUAUGAUUGUAUUUAGCUUUUAGUCUAUUUCACGCAGCCUUCUUCUAUCUUCGUGAAAUAAUUCACCCCCUCCUGUCACGUCCCUGUUACUUUGUCACGCGAUAUUUGUACGGAAUGUUUUGAAAGACUCGUGAGCGAAAUUUUACAGGGUGAUAAAAUGGCGAAUUUCUUAUGUUUUGUUUAGAUUUUUAGUUUCCUCCUGUUAUAAAGGGUUAAAUUUAUUAUUAGUGGAAUGGAAAUGGCUUGGAUGGAAGAGCAACAAGGCUGAAUUGUUAACAAGCGACAUGGGAUGACAAAAUGGCGCCGAAUUUGGACAAAGUUGUCGAUUUACCUUGUCGAUGGUUAAACAGGUAUGCUCUACUUGAGACCAAGUUGAAACUUGUUUAAAAUGUUCUUGAUACCAUUAUGUCUGAGAUGAUUUACAUUUUUUGUAGGAUGUCGACGAGAUCGCCG